UUGUAUCUCAAUCGGUGGAGUGCUGGUCUUAUGAACCGGAGGUUGCGGGUUCGAGCCCCGCCUA
rnacentral:tRNA from 1 species